GUGUGACACCAAUCAGGCCCUAGAGGACUGAAGUUGCCCACCUGUGGAGGGAGAUCAGGACAGGAACUGGAUGGGUGAUAUCAUAAACAUCAAGAAUCUCCAGGAAUUCACCAUGCACCAGGAGUCAAAUGGAACUGAAUGGAAUACAUGGAAGGAUUGGUGGGAAACUCCAGAGAUCCACUCCAGAGAUGGAUCUUCUCUAACAGUUACGUAACUACAGAUAAUGAACAACAUGCUUUCACUCUGCAUACCUCUGAUUCCAAACUACUCCCAUAUCAGAGUAACACGAUAUCAUCCACUGACUGUUGCUAAACACCUGACCAACACCUUGCUGCUGUAGAGAGGAAUUCGGAAGCUGUCAUUCACUGGAAUUGCCCUCUAGGAAACCAUUGGAUAUCAUACCCUUCAAUAUGUUGGUGUAUGGAGGCUAGGCCUGUGCUGUGUUGUUCUCCCAUCUGUUCUCAACUAAUCACGGUCAAUGCAGACAUUCUCUAUACUGAAACAGCAUGGGUUUGGGAUGUCUCAAACCCCCAGCAUUGAGUUUAUAUAGAGGGACAUCAUUGUUAUAAGCAAUGUAUCCAUAUUGUAAAACACUAUGUAACACCAGUCGUGAAGAGGGCGUGACCAUGAAUGCUAGUUAGUGUGUGGGACCAAAUGAUUCAGAUUGUUCAGUCUGAUUCAGAACCAUAACAACAUCUACUAUUAACAUGACUUCUACAGAGGAGCCUUCAGUCAACAGAAGUAACUUCUUCUCAGACAGGAAACCAAACAAACACUCAAGGCUAUGGGUCAGUGAAGAACAAACACCAUGUAAAUACAACCCAUAUUUAUAUUUAUUUAUUUUCCCUUUUGUACUUUAAA